CCCUUUGUCCCCUCACUCCCCUUCGAAUUGGCUUUCAAAAAACAAAAACAAACAUCUCUUCUAUGUACUUGGGAAAGAAUGGGGUUCUUACUUUUAGGCUACAGCAGGAAUGCUGCAGUUUCUCCUAUCCCUGUCAAGGCAAUCGAACCCCUCAAUUCUCACAGCAGCUGGUUUAUGCCCAAAUUUC